UUAAGAAACUCAUGAUGAAUACCAUUAUGAAUUUGUUUUUUUCUGGUGGUGGUGGAUGGCACAGAAAGGGGCAGAUGCAGUGUUAGGGUUUGAGGAAAAAUGAGAGUGAAGAGAGAGAAGGGUAAUGAUGAAGAGUGAAUCAAUAUUUGUUUAGAAGCAGAGAGAAACAAUGAAGAAUGAAUCGAAAGUUGUUUAGAAGCAGAGAGAAACAAUGAAGACACAAUCAAUGGUUGUGCAAGAAGCAGAGAGAAACAAUGAAGACAUAAUCAAUGGGUUUCUGUUCUCCUGAUGAUAUCAUCUCUACGGUUGGAGUUCUUUCUUCUUUGCUCGUUAAAUAUCAGAAAUCGGAAGUGGAAAAGGAGAGAUGUCUCACACAUGAAGCCAAACAGAAACAAACAAAAAGCAAGCCUUAGGGACCAUCCACACAUGAAAAUUCUUACUUUUGUAAUUGUUUUUUUGUUGUAAAAUAUAUACAAAAAUAUAAUUAACCUAAACUUUAGUAUAAAACAUAGUGUUUAUUUCUUUUAAAAUGUGACCAUGUAUUUCGACUUACUUAACUCAUAUUGGUAGAAAAAAAACAAUAUUAUCAUGAUUAUUAUAUUUUUAA